rnacentral:tRNA from 1 species
GCAGUGAUAGCUCAGUCGGUAGAGCGGAAGUUUGAAGAACUUCGCGUCGUAGGUUCGAUUCCUACUCGCUGCACCA